GUGGUUUUCUUUGAUCUAAUUGAAUUUGGUAAUGAACUUUUCGUUGUUUAACAGGAAAUAGUCCAGUGGAUAGUUUCUAUAGCUUAUUUCUAUCACAUGUUCUAUUGAUUGUUCACCUAUAUUUUCUUCCCGUUGACGUGUAAUUAUAAAUGUCAACCUUGCAUUUUUUUUCGUUGUUUUUGCAAGUGCAUCAAACUUGUUCCUCCACUUGGGGUUGGCUGCUGCUUUGGAUGAAAAUCCAGAUACUAUACAGGUUAGUGUGACAAAAUUACGAUUCUUCUUCUGUGUGCUGUUUUCUUAUUUUUUUUAAUGAUCUCCUCAGGCAUUUGUUGUGAUGGUUUCCAGGCAUGGCUUUCUUUCAUAUAUGGGUUUGGAAUUGACAUGCAAGUUGUUAUCAUUAUCAUGAUUGUGCAUUAAAUGCACUCUUCCACUUUGUGUUGGUUUGUCAACAAUCAUGACUUCGGAGAGCUGCGGUUUUUGGCUUGGACAUGACAUGUUUUUUUCUCUCAUGAAGUUUGGUUGGUGUUUCAAGUUGGUUGGUCUCUCUAGGAACUGUUCAUUCCUGUUUCUCAUGAAACUAGAUGUGUUUUUUUUCCCUUGCUCAUUCUUUAGCACAAUUUGUGUUUGUCAUUUUAGUCUUAUUCUUCAGUAUUUUCCUAUGCAGCUAGGCUGCACCUUUUUUAAAUUCAAUUUGUACAUGAUUUAUAGGCACCUCUCUCAUUUUGCUUCGAAGUUGGUGUGAGAUAGGCUUGGUGUUUUUGAGAGAGGCCUUCCCAACCAUUACUCUCAACUCUUCCACUGCCAAUUUCUUUCCCAAUUACAGUUCCCUGGUAGGUUUUUGUUGUUUUAACAGUUUGUUUUAAUUUCCAUCUUUUGUUGUUGCUUUUUUCGCACUGGGUGUGUUUUUAAAUUAAUGUUUUUGGGUUUAUUUUUAUACUCAGUUGCUCCAAGUUCAUCAUUUCAUUACUGAUUUGUUUCUGCAGCUUCUUGCUUUUCAGGAAAUAUAUUUUUCCAGUUGCUGUCUCUCUUCAAUCGGUUAUUUGUUUUUUCCUGCUAUUUUUCCACAUUGUUUUUAUCUUUACCCUUUUGUUUUUGUUUCUUCUCCCUUUUAAUGUGCUUUUGGCUCUAUGCUUUUUUUAUUUCUGAGUUUUUAGUUGUCUCAGAUGGUUCAGCUGGUGACUGUUUUUCUAGCAGUGUGUUGCUUAACAGUAUUAGUUUGCCUCUGCGUCAGUGCCCUUGGUGACCUAUUAGGUUUGCGGAUCCUUUAUCUUAUGUAACUCACUUCACUUUCUUUCACUUGCAUCUACUAUGUUGCCUUGCUUUGUUUAUUUUCCACUAUGGAUUUUCUUUUUUUGUUUUCUGCCAUUGCGCUAAAUUGUUUUGGGUGUAUAUCGUUCCUUGUGUUGUUUUGUUGCUUCGAUUAAAGGAUGCGUUGUGUAUUUUCUUUCCCUGUUACUUUUGCUUUUCUUCUUGCAAAUUACUUUGCUUUUCCACCCUGCAUUUUUUCUGUCAUUCUUUUUUGUUUGGCUUCUUAUUUACAUAUUGUUGUCAUGGACUUUGAUAUUUUCCCUCAAGGUUAAUUCUUGGUCAAUCUCUCUGGUCGCCUUUUUAUGGAUGUUAUCAUUGUGUCUUUCUUUCUCUUCCACAGGCCCUUCUUGGUUAGGAGCAAGGUUGUCUUGCUGGUGGUCUCACUCUUUUCAGAAGAGCUUUAACAACUGAUUGUGCCUUACUCGGCAUGUUUCUCUUUUUCAAGGUGUUUUAGGAACAUCGCCAUGUCAUCUCUUUGUUUGUUUGGCUUCCCAGAUCUUAUUUUUUGGUUUUUUAACAGCCUUUCAUACCUUCGUUUAAAGGGUGCUUUUUAAGACCUUACCAUUUGUUUCGUGUUGGUCUAUUCUUUUUUAUGUCAUCCUUCUCUUUGCAUUGAAUUUGGUUUCGAACCUAUACUUAUUUUUAUUUUUGUCAUCUCUGUGCAUGCUUCUGGUCUGAAUUUCUGGUGGCUCCUCACUACUCUAUCAAUCAUUUGUACCAUUUGCGCUCACCUUGAGUGCUGCAAGGUUUUCUCAUUUGGUUUACUGCCUUUUCCGGUAGUUUUCCUUGCAUUGAUAUUGUGUGUUUGCAUCCCUUCCUGCUCCCCUUCCCCUACAGUCGAUUGGAUUACUGUUAUGCUCAAGAGAUCCUCCUUGAUGCAUUUGGCUUUUGUCUUGCGUAAUAAACCAGCCUUUACACUCUUUUUUAAUAUAGUUUUUUUUCUGUCCCUCUGCCUUGCAAUUUCCAGCGCUGGGCUGGUUUGGUUUACUUCUUCGAUACUAUUUGGUUUGGCUUUGCUUCUCUUUUAGAAGCCUUUCCAUCAUUUUGGGGGCAGCCUCCUUUGACAAAUCUUUUUAUUCUUUGAUUGCCUUUUGUUAUACCAGGGAUGUAGUCAAGGCUAUUAAUCUAGCCUAUGUGUCCUGUUUUUUUGUUCGAGUUUUGCUUGGUUCUUUUGUUGUGUUGCGUUCUUGGCCAAAAAUGGUGAGAGAUGAGGAUAAAAGAGGGCAUGGAUCAAAAGAAAAUUGGUAGGGUAUGUGUGGUCAAUUAGAUGAAUUAAAGCGGCUGUGUAAUUAGAUUAAAAGGCUAUGAGUCUCAACAGGGGUGCAAGGAGAAAAGAAAAAAAAAGGGGGGGGGGAUGGUUGAACACUUCAUUUUCCAUCAUUCUCUCACAUCGCUUCUGCAUAGUGUAUCUAGCCUUAUUAGACAUGGCUGGAAAAGCUAUAGCCAGUCCUUUAUUCCCUCUUAUUUAGUCUCAUGUUCAAGACAGCAAAAAGAAAUAAGAGCCGCAGGCUAAAGCAAAAACCUUCUGAUAACUCUAGGCUCUUAACGCUGUAAGAUUCUCAGUUUUUAUCCCUUAGUUUUUUGUGUCGCAUGCAUUUACACGCAAACAAGCAUUCUAAUUUACUGGUUGUGGUCCUGGAUUUUAUUGUGUUUGGAUAUUUUUUGCUUUGAUGUCUAGGUUGGUCUGACCUGUACAAGGUGACCCCUCCUAUGCAGAUAUUUAUUUUUCCUUCCCUGCUUCCCGUCUGGUUUGCUUGAUUUUUCUUUUUUUCUUUAGUCUGUUAGUUGCUUCGUUCUGACUUGAAUUGUGAUCCCCCCUUGGCACUUCUUUUGUUCAUUUUUUCCUACUGUUUCAAGCAUUCAAUUAAGUUUCUUCAUGCUUUCCUUUGGUUUGCUUCGUUCUGUCUUAUGUUUAUUUGGUAAUGUUUUAGAAGCUUACUUUUUUUUGUUUUUUGUUGUGCUGAUUUCCUCACGUGUGGGUCUGCUGCAAGCAGUUCAUGCAUCUCACCCGCAAACACAUCCUUUCGCACACCAAAGCUAUGAUACAUUCAUCAGCACUUGCUUUGCACAAUUGUUUUGUGAUGUUCCUGGAAUUAGUCAUCUCAUUUGCUUUGCUUUUUUGAUAAAACAAUGUUGAUUUCAACUACUUUUGCUUGCUUGCGAAUUGAUUGUACUGUGGCUUUUCCUGUUUUAGCUGCUUCCUUGCUUCUACCCGAAGCCUCAGCAUCAUCGAUACUCAAACCCACCUCAACUUUCCAUCUCCUCUGACUUUUGCAGGGGCAAACCCACCACUGCCUUCUUAUAGUGUGCAUGCUUGCUAGCAUUUUUAUUUCACCUACAAUUUGCUGUGCAACCCAUGUUUUUUAUAACUCUUUCUGUUUGCUCAUGUUGUCCUCAUCAACUGCAUCCAGGAACCAUUGUGCCAGUGGUGGUGGGUGCUAAUCGCAGGUGCCCUUUCGGUUUCGUCAUCGAUUGAUGUGACAAUUAACACACUUAUCUUUUUGGAUUGGAUCUUCUGUUCCUUUUAGCACACUCAUGACUUUAUUUUCCUUUUGCUCCUGAACUCAUGCAAUGCUUGGUAUUAAUUGCAAUAUUUUGUAUUUUUUUUUUUUGGUGCAGGAACGUUAAGGACCUUUUACAGUCAGCUAUUGAGGUCCGAUCAUCUUUGUUGGGGUCUCUGUUUUUUUGUUUUUUUUUGCUCCUUUGACUUUCCUUCCUUCUCAAAAAAGUCCUCCACGCAGCAAUCCCAGCCUUGGCUCCCAUUUUUUUUCACCUGCACUGCACUCUUUGCAUUCUGUAAAAAAUAUUUAUUAAUUAAUAGCCACUGUUGCUGCUUUGGUUCAUCUUGCUUCCUUCAUAAAGGACUAAAGCCCUAUGCAUUUGCUUUGGCGUAAUGGUCCACUUAUGCUCAUUUUCUGCUCGCUUUUUGCCUAAAUUAAUUUAUUGUUGGCAGCUACAUAACUUGCCUAACAACAAUUUCCACCCCCAGGUUUUUCCUAUCGUUCUUUUCAUGCUCACUCGAACUUGAUUAAGAUAAAAUCCAUUAUAGAGGUUUGAAAACACCCCGCAGCGGAGCGCGGGUCCGUAUCUAGUGUAUAACUAAAUUCAUUGCAACUUCUUGUUAAUCUAUAUGUGAUGUCAUUGCUGUCAGAUAAUGGAGCACAUUCUAUUAUCACCCAAGAAGACUGGACUUCAUGAUGAUGUGCUUUGUAUUCUCUAUUUGCACAUGGAUCCACUGUUACCCCCUUCCUAGACUUCGAAUGCUAUCAGUUGGAUAUCUAAACUUUUGUUUUUGAUUAACCAAUGUGAUAUAUAUGAUUUUUCAGAUUUCUCUGUCUGUUUCCUUUUUGCAUGCAAUAUAAUUCAGUCUUUGUGUUGCAGGCUCUUUAUCAUGUUCUAGGUGUUGCUCCUGCCUAUCAGGGCUCUAUUGGACCAGCAUUAAAUGAAUUGUGCCUUGGUUUACAACCAGAGGAAGUUGCACCUGUAUGAUGAUACAUUUUAACUUUGGUUUCAUUGUUAAUGCAACUCUGUUUAACCUUCCAUGAUUUUAUUUUCAAAUAUUUAUGGUUACAGGCUCUGUAUGUGUAUGCAAAAGAUGUUCAUGUAAGAAAGGCCUGCUUAAAUGCCAUAAAAUGUAUUCCAGCAGUUGCCAGCCGAUCUGUCCCCGAGAAUGUUGAGGUUGCAACUAGUCUUUGGAUUGCUCUACAUGAUCCAGAAAAGGUUUGGUUUGCCAGUUGUGGUUUUCUUUGAUCUAAUUGAAUUUGGUAAUGAACUUUUCGUUGUUUAACAGGAAAUAGUCCAGUGGAUAGUUUCUAUAGCUUAUUUCUAUCACAUGUUCUAUUGAUUGUUCACCUAUAUUUUCUUCCCGUUGACGUGUAAUUAUAAAUGUCAACCUUGCAUUUUUUUUCGUUGUUUUUGCAAGUGCAUCAAACUUGUUCCUCCACUUGGGGUUGGCUGCUGCUUUGGAUGAAAAUCCAGAUACUAUACAGGUUAGUGUGACAAAAUU
rnacentral:lncRNA from 1 species